rnacentral:rRNA from 1 species
CCUACGGGUGGCAGCAGUGAGGAAUAUUGGUCAAUGGACGAGAGUCUGAACCAGCCAAGUAGCGUGAAGGAUGACUGCCCUAUGGGUUGUAAACUUCUUUUAUAUGGGAAUAAAAUGUUCCACGUGUGGGAUUUUGUAUGUACCAUAUGAAUAAGGAUCGGCUAACUCCGUGUCAGCAGCCGCGGUAAUACGGAGGAUCCGAGCGUUAUCCGGAUUUAUUGGGUUUAAAGGGAGCGUAGGUGGAUUGUUAAGUCAGUUGUGAAAUUUUGCGGCUCAACCGUAAAAUUGCAGUUGAAACUGGCAGUCUUGAGUACAGGAGAGGUGGGCGGAAUUCGUGGUGUAGCGGUGAAAUGCUUAGAUAUCACGAAGAACUCCGAUUGCGAAGGCAGCUCACUGGACUGCAACUGACACUGAGGCUCGAAAGUGUGGGUAUCAAACAGGAUUAGAUACCCUAGUAGUC